GGUGUAGCUCAGUGGUAGAACACCCUCCUUUUAUGCAGAGGGUCCUAGGUUCAGUCCCUGGCAUCUUCA